rnacentral:lncRNA from 1 species
CUCCGGUACCGCCGCCUGCGCCAGGAACCCCUCCUCGGGGCCACGCGAGAGCUCUCGGGCGCCGCGUCUGCGCCGGGGACGGCUCCGCCCAGAGUUGCAGCCAGAGGUCGGGCGCUCCUGCCCCGCCAAGCGCAGGCCUCGGACCUCGCCGCUGUCAGAACUGGAGGUGUUGGGUACGGUCGGUCACGCUUCACUGACGAUUGAGGUGCCCCAGUUUCCCCGAGGCGAGCAGGGAGCGGAGCGAAUCCGGAUUCCCUUGCCUGGAGCGGGGCCGGCUUUUCGGUUUCGUGAGUUCAGAAGGAAACCCGGACGCCAACCAAUCUUCAAGUCGAAGCCUCGCAGCAAGUGGCCUCACCUGCUUUGGCCGCGCCUUGCCCAGGAACAACGAAGAGAAGACCUUCUUAUUUACUGUCACCAAUUAGCCGGGGCGCACACUCAGAGACCAGAGGGUCCCGAAGACAACUGCUGUCAACCAACCAUUCCCCACCCAAACCCACAAAUCUGAAACCUGAAUUUAUAUGAAUUCAGGAGAAACUGCUAUCCCUCCAUCCCAAGAGUACAUACUUCUCUGCCAUCUACAAAGGAAAAUGUGUUCUUGUCUUUCCGUGCUCGUAAUAAAGAAGGCGACCCCAAAUUCCCUCAUCUUCUGUCUUGAAAAGUCCCUCUGUAUUAACAGAUGUAGUAAAAGUCCCUCCUGGGGACUUUUACAUAGAUGACCAGAACCGAACCUCUCCUUACACGUCCACCACCAGAGAGUCUCAAGCUCCAGUCUCCAUGUGAAUUUCUUGGGGAGUAGCGACUCUUCCAUUGCCCUUCCAGUAGAGUUUAGGUGGCCCUGUAGUUCCGCCUUUGGCAAGAGAGCAAUUUCCUAGGAGUAACUGGGUGGCCUGGCUGCAAUCCGCCUGCCUCUUCACACCGAGAAACGCUUCUCUUGUGGGAACGUCUGUUUCUAUUCAUCCGAUUUUCUAAUUUCUUUGAUCAGCUUAAAUAUUUUCUUGGCAAACGGAAAUUGACCAUGCCAUGAAUAUGAUAACAACCUGCUUGAAAAAAAGCUAUUUUGUUUCCAAG